UGAAAGUUCAGCUAGAUGCUUCACCCUCAGGGCUUUGGACUCUCUCUCAGUAUACACACAGCAGAUCCAUUACACUAGACACUUCUUUCUCUAGGGAAAGCACUUUAUUAUGCACCUGAUGUACUGUUGACAAGACCAAACUAGUCAGUCAUGAUCAGAUUGAGAUGGAAGUUACCUACCUCUUCUGAAGUCACCUGCAGAAAUAAGGAGAUGGAAAAGAUCAGCCAGAUCCUCAGUUCUCUCUACAAUAUUUGCAUUAUAUUAAUCAUUCCAAACUUCUAACAUUAUGGAAUUUGAAGACUUUUUCUCUACGAGCAGAAAUAUCCUCCUAUGAAUUCUGAAAUUAAGUUCUGGCUGCAUUCUUUAUAUCCAUCAGCUGCAAGGACAUUAAAAUAUUUUAUUAAUGAUUCAAACACUGGACACCUUCUCUGGUUGAAGGAAUGUAUGAAGGAGCAUGGACCACAGUGAGCAACCAGCCUAAUUCACAGGAGAAGAGUUACUAUAGGAAUGGAACUAAAUUACUGGUUUGCUACAGAGAAGACCUGCAAUAGUAAGAUGGAAAGGAAUGUCAUCGUCUUCCCUUCCUCCGGGGAAAUGGCCACUGGUAUUAAGUAUACAUCUGCAAAUCCAUGCCAUAAAGAGCUUGUUUGCUAUCAAACAAAUCAAAUGCCCAUCCAUUUGAUCUGUAUGAUUGGAAACAAGUUCAUAAUUUUUACUUCCAAUUUUCUGCAGAACAUACAGGAAAGAGGUACUCUAAGAUAACUUGCAAUUCCAGUGAAUGAAGAAACAGUGUGAUGAGAAUAAGAAUUUGCUACUGGAUCUUAAAGGAAGCAAGGGCUUUGGGGAAAACUCUGUAUCCAAACAGGAACAUUUUCAAGUGCUUUCCAGAAUUGAGCCGGCUACUUUUGCUCCUAAUUCACGCAGAAUAAUCAGCAGAACCUGACUCCUAAAUCCUUUAGUCACCUUUGAAAAUAAAACUUGAACACUAAUAAUUAUACGGCAAAGCCAGAGUCAGAACAGAAAGAACACUUUCUUUUUCCAAAAAGACUGUAGCCUGUGAUUGGAAAUGUGAUACCUAAGAGCAGAAUAAUCUUAGCAGGAGAUUUCUCUGUUUUUCAGCUUUUUGUUGAGCUUAUCCUCAUGAAUAUUUUCCUCCUCGACCCCAAAUUUUCACUGAAGAUACUAUUGCAUCAUCGGUAUGUUUCUUACCCACCCCUUCUUACAGACUAAUGAAGAUUAAUUGAUGCUUAUAAACUACUUCGAAGAUACUGAGUACAAUGUAAGUGCACUUACUAAACAAUAUCUUUUAAAGCAAUUCAGCCUAAAGAAAUGGAAACAUGAGACGAGCACAUCAGCAGGAAAAGCAUUAACCCUGCCCUGAAAAGGACAAAGGAACCCAGAUGAAAUUUUAUUUAAAUACGCUGACCAAAAUAUAACAAUUCUGCAUGAAUACCAUGGAGGAUGAUCGAUCUUGUGAUAGCACUUCUCUGGUAUCAGUUACUUAAAUAACAGUAAGAAUACAGAUAUACAUUAAAAAGAAUGUUUGAGUGUGUGUUAUUACUAGAUCAAUAAAAAGACACAGCAUUAUUCCGUAAGUUGUUUUGAGAAAAAAAAAAACUCCAUCACAGAAGUGAAAAAAUUACUUUUUCUGAAGACACAAAUAGCUUUUUACAAAUAUCCACUGGUUGUGUCAGAAUGAAUUUGAUAUUAUUUUCACAUUCAAAGCAUAAAAACAUAUUACUGUGCCAAACAGACUUAUGAUAAUGUGAAAAUACAUUAUGUUAUUCUUAAAGAAAAGUCUUUCAGUUUUUAUUUUCUGGCGUGUAAAUCUACUUCAGAAAUUCAGGAUGAAAUAGAAAUUUCCUGCAAGGAAAUUGCAUAGA